rnacentral:lncRNA from 10 species
CACAUCCUCAGUGGUGAUGUAAGGUCUCACAAGGAGGGUCUUUCCUGUGCAACCACUGUUGACCUCCUGAAAUGCAACUCGGAGGUAAUUCUGCAGGUGGAAGAGGAAUGUUGAGACAGUCAGAAGAGAAAACUAGAUAGUGAGCAUGAUGGGGGACCAGGGGAGGGGGUAACUGUAAGCCAUUUCCAGGCCCUUUCCUGUCAUAAUGUCCGAUGUCAGGCCACGAGGCUUCGAAUGGCAAGGAAAGAGGCUGAUCUGACUUUGGACAGUGGCGAAGAUGACUACAUGAUUCAUUGCAACUGUAAGAAGCAGGAAGUCCAUGCAGCCCUGGUUCUGAUCUUUCCAUUUCCCUCAUAAGGUCUGGUUAAGAAACCCCUGCUUAAGAGUGUGAACCACAUCCAAUGCUGGGUUUAUUCCCAGCUUGAAAACUAAACCAAAUAGCACAAGAGUAUGAAGGAAGUCAGCAGAAAGAGAUUUAAAAUAUCUAGACACAAAAGCACGUACUGUGCUCACUUUUUGUUUUCUUCUUUUCAUUUUAAGAGAUGAGAUCUCACUAUAUUCUCCAGGCUGGACUCAUACCGCUGGGCUCAAGUGAUCCUUCUGCCUCAGCCUCCUGAGUAGCUAGGUGUACAGGUGCAUGCCACUGUACCUGGCUUGUGUUCACUUUUGACAAACUUUUUAAAUAAAUCCUAAGCAAGGGCAAUCAUUUAGGUUGAAUCACACACACACAAAAUGCGCUGACUUUUGACUAUUUUUUAUCUCCCCCAAAUGGUGAUUUCAUGUAGUUCAAUCUAAUACAAGGCUCCUAGUGGCUCUGGGCACAAUGUGGAAAAAGUCAGAAGGAGAAGAAUGUUGAUUUUGCCAAAUACUUUGCAGAUGGAGCUGAUUACAUGCAAGGUGGUGCUGCAGGGAAUUAAACAAAGACGUUUGCAGGCUCAGGUGCUGCAAUCAUGCCAGGUACAUGCUAUCAUGAAACAUGUAAACCUGUGGCCUUACAAGAUACAAAGCCCAGACCAGGCAUAAAGAAUCUUAAACUCACAUCAGGCUCUCCUAGAUUUUGUGACCCCAGAUAACUUUGCUUCUGUUUCCUUAACAGUGGAGUUAUCAGAUGAAAUCUAGAACAGCCAGUUAAAUUUGAGUUUCAGCUAGAAAACAAAUAGAUUUUUUUCUGCUAAAUCUGGCAACCCUGCUCAGCAGUGAAGGGAAGGAGGGCUCUCUGCCCAGGUGCCUGCAAGGUCACCACGAGGGUUUCCUGGGAUAACAGAAGGGAAAGCUCUUGGGAAGGACAGUGAGCUCUGCACAUGUAAGAUAUGUUUCAUAUCUGCUUCCAGUGGGGACUUUUGCUAGCCCAGUGACUUUGCAGGAGAGGUGAGCUAGUGGGAGGUGCCCAGAUUGACAGUGACACUCUUUGAACCUUUUUUUUUAAGAGACAGGGUCUACAUAAUCCCUGUUUGACUAGUGCAGAAACUGAGGCACAGAGAGGCUACGUAACUUGCCCAAAGCCACACAGCUAGGACGUGGCAGAUGCAGCCCCACCGCCUUUACCACCAAGACGUACUACCUCUUCCCAUGUGAGAAGACCUCUGUGUCUGUGGCCUCUGAUUUAGGGGUUCCAGAUGGAGCUUUGGGUCUGAGGUUUUGCUUUGACCCCUGAGCCGAGUGCUGAACAUUUCCUUCUUCGGUUACACUCUGAGAAGGCAUGCACCUCCAAGAUGGCCAUGAAGCUUGGAAGUCAGGUGACUUUCCCAGAUGGUGGAGAAGAAAUGCAAACCAGAUGUUUAUGAUCAUCUGCAAUGUGCCAGACAUUGCAUCAGGGGCUGGGAACGAAACAGACGGAAGUUCCUGCCUGCAUGGAGCUCCAUGUCAGGGGAUACCGAUAGACAAUAAACAAAUACACAAUUUACAGAAUCUAUGAGAAGGAGAUCCAUGACAUGGAUAAAAGUGAAGCAGGAAAGGAGAAUAAAGAGUGUUUGAGUGUGAAGGUGGGCAGACAAGUCUUCGUGAGCAGGCAGCAUUUGACUGAAGAUCUAAUGGUGGCCAGGGGUUAAAUCAUGAGGGGAAGGACCUUCCAGGCAGAGUGAGCAGCAGGUGCAAAGGCCCUGGGGUGGGGAGGGUCUGGCAUGGAUGAAGAACAGCAAGGAGACCACUGCGGCUGGAAGGUGCUAGUAAGGAACAAAACUUGGAGUCCUGCCUGGACUUUGUCAUCAUGAGACGUGCUGAGAAUUUCCACUGACGAGAAUAAUGAUACCAAACAACCUAUUGUUUACGGUAAAAUUAGGCAACAUUCUUGGAUAAACCAGAUUAAAUCUGGAUGACUGGAGAAUUUUGGAGCCAUGGAAGCUGUUAACAAUGAAUAACAAAUUAGUAAGUCAAUGAAAAGAAGAAAAAAGCAAGAAUGUUUUGACACCGUAGUACUCUGCUAAUGUAAAGCCAGGAGGCUGCUGUUCUUGGGGGUCAGGCCCAUAUCACCUCUUCCUUCCAUGAGACCUUUCACUUGUCCUCAAAUGUUGUGAGCACCCCCUUUGCUUGGCCACUUGUGUCUGUUUGAGAUGAAGCAGGCAGCACUGCAGGGGAUGGCUGUGUCUGUAAUAGCUGCUGCCUGACCUGGCAGGGCGGCAACCCUGAUGCUAAUCUCAAGUGAAGAUUAAUGGGAACCACAACCUUGUAACACCAAACUAGACUGUAAAUAUAUGUUUGUGUGGCCGGACCAACUUAAUUAAAAUCUACUUUCCUCAGACAAUUUUGGGGGAAAGCUGCAUACCACAAAACCAACCUGUGUUUAUAUUAAGCUUUUACCUUGCUCAAUGCAGUACCUGGAGCUUAAACGUCACAUGACUGGUUUGGGGUUUUCUUAAUGAUAUAUGA